GGACCGAUAGCUUAGUUGGUUAAAGCACCCGGCUCAUAACCGGGCGACCGUGGGUUCAAAUCCCUCUCGGUCCA
rnacentral:tRNA from 2 species